rnacentral:rRNA from 1 species
AUGGCUGGUUUUGUUUCUCAUCUAACAAAUGAUCCACCUAGUUCAAAUGAUGAUGCAGCAAGGAAGUCUUGGCAAAAGAUCGAUGAUUGUGUGAUGGGAGUUUUAAUUCUGGGUGUUGAACCCUCACUCAGAAUGAGUCUUGAGCAUCACAUUUCAGCUAAAGAGAUAUGGAAGUACUUUGAGCAGCGCUACCUUCAGCCCAACAACACACUUCAUUUCUCCUUGUUUCAGAAUUUACACAACACUCGGCAGCCAGAAGACAUGUCCAUAGAAGAGUACUAUGGAGCUUUCACUCGCAUCACUGGGCAGCUUGGUUCCAUGGUUCCAAAGGGUAAUUCUGGUUGUGAGUCAUGUGUAGCAAAGGAAAAGUAUGACCAUCAAACUCUCAUGUUUCAGUUUGUGAUGGGUCUCAAGCCAGACUUUGAGAACAUUCGCACUCAAUUGCUUGGUCGUACGACUCCUCCCACCUUAACAGAGGCACUUGCUAGCUUGAUCGCUAAGGAGACUCGUCUCCGUUCUCUUGGGGCUACUUCUGCGCAGACUCUACACACUAGUGUUUUGGCUUUUCCUCAGCGGCCAGGUGCCUCCAAGGCCACACCUUCAACUGUCGUCUGCUCGUUCUGCAAGAAGGCAGGACACCACAGAGAUGGUUGUUUCAAGCUUCAUCCAGAGCUGUUGUUAUGA